rnacentral:rRNA from 1 species
CAUUGUGUCGGCACCCAGUUCAGUCCAGGUUUAAUCCUAUAGAUUAGUCCUGAAGCUAAGCAGGGUUGGGCCUGGUUAGUAUUUCCAUUGCAGACUGCUGGGAAUAUACCAGGUGUGACAGUGG